AACUUAAGCAUAUCAUAGCGAGAAAAGAACCACAGGGAUUGCCUCAGUAACGGCGAGUGAAGCGGCAAAGCUCAAAUUUGAAAUCUGGCUCUUUCAGGGUCCGAGUUGUAAUUUGUAGAAGAUGUUUCGGGCGUGGCCCCGGUCUAAGUUCCUUGGAACAGGACGUCAUAGAGGGUGAGAAUCCCGUAUGUGACUGGGUGCCUAUGCCUGUGUGAAACUCUUUCGACGAGUCGAGUUGUUUGGGAAUGCAGCUCAAAAUGGGUGGUAAAUUUCAUCUAAAGCUAAAUAUUGGCCAGAGACCGAUAGCGCACAAGUAGAGUGAUCGAAAGAUGAAAAGCACUUUGGAAAGAGAGUUAAACAGUACGUGAAAUUGUUGAAAGGGAAGCGCUUGCAAUCAGACUUGCGCCUGGGCGAUCAUCCAGGGUUCUCCCCGGUGCACUCGUUCAGGCUCAGGCCAGCAUCGGUUUCUGUGGUGGGAUAAAGGCCGCGGGAAUGUGGCCCCUCUCGGGGGGUGUUAUAGCCCGCGGUGCAAUGCCGCCUAUGGGGACCGAGGACCGCGCUUCGGCUAGGAUGCUGGCGUAAUGGUUGUAAGCGACCCGUCUUGAAACACGGACCAAGGAGUCUAACAUCUAUGCGAGUGUUUGGGUGUCAAACCCAUACGCGUAAUGAAAGUGAACGGAGGUGAGAACCCUUAAGGGUGCAUCAUCGACCGAUCCUGAUGUCUUCGGAUGGAUUUGAGUAAGAGCAUAGCUGUUGGGACCCGAAAGAUGGUGAACUAUGCGUGAAUAGGGUGAAGCCAGAGGAAACUCUGGUGGAGGCUCGCAGCGGUUCUGACGUGCAAAUCGAUCGUCAAAUUUGCGUAUAGGGGCGAAAGUAAGUUUUUUAAUCCAGUUCCCUCGAGUUAAAGAUUCAAAUACUAACAUGUUUUUUUUUUAGGACUAAUCGAACCAUCUAGUAGCUGGUUCCUGCCGAAGUUUCC
rnacentral:rRNA from 1 species